ensembl:lncRNA
AUUAUCAGAAACUUUAUUUACUUACUUUCAUAGAGUGAGAAUGCCUGCUAAAAACAAAAGCUAUUAAUACUAUUGAGAACUCUCAUUAAGCAGUCAAUAUUACUGUAAGUUUUUUUUCUUUCGUUUUCUUUGUGUAAAAUCCCGGGGAUUACCCUGGUAUCUGUGGUUUCACUUUACCAUGUUUUUAUUUGCCUGUGAUCAUGACCGAUGAUUCAGACUCCAUUAAGCUCGUAGAUGAAGACAGCACAUACUUAUAUUUUCUUCACACACUCACCUGUGCUCUCCAAAGCAGGUAAGGUAAAGUUGAUUUUUACUUCAGUGACAGAUUUCUAGUCUGCUUCGUUCAGUUACUUCAGAAAUAGUUGCACUGAAUAUUUUACUGUACUUCACCUUUAAUGCUUCAGAUAAUCAUGAACAGUCUGAUUCAGACUGAAAGUUUAACGUCUUCAUGUGUGGUGAUUGUUGUUGCUGCUUUCAUUGGUGAACUGUGUGAUCCACUCUAUACAUACCUUAUAUCAUAGCUGGAUUAUUGAUCAGCAGACUUUAUGAAGGCUUCAGUUUAACAAGCUGGUGACAUUCAAUCGUUCACAGAGGUUUUCUGUCAUUUAGCUAAACUCAAAAACCAGGUGGACAAAAUAAUAGAAACAGUGUAAAUCUGAGUGGACGUGUCUUUGUUCACUUUGACGAUCUUUAAAACGGAAUAAUAUCACUGUGCUACAGCUACACUGGACUUUUGGUUCUUCUCCAGGUUGCAGGAGGAGCUGCUUUGUGUUCCUGAGCUGAUUAUCGACUAAAUAUGGACAAAGAUAAACUCGAAAUCUUCCGGGCUCUGAGACUCAUGGAGGCUUUUUUAGAGGUGAUGAAAAAACAAGCAGAAAUUCUGGCAAAUAGGAAUGCUGCAUGUCGCCCUGAAAGUCCCAGGAGCUCUGCUGAAAGGAAAAGAUUAAUAAACCUUGCAACAGAAAACUGCAAAGAUGAAACUGUCCUGCAGUGGCUGAGAGAAAAUUCAGAGUCUGGCACCUUCAGAAAACUCUCAGACAUGUUUGAUUUCCUGAAAAGUAAAAUUGAUGAGGAAGAAAAGAAGAACCAUGAUGACACUGUUGACAUAAUCUUUGUGGCACAUGGAUCAAUCAGAGACUCCAUGAUCCCAGCCAAGUGUUUGCUGCCUCUGCCCACCAUCACUGACCUGGUCCUGUACUCUCCCUGGAACUGUGCCACCACACCUGAAGUGACCUAUGGCAUUGCAACAGGGAAAAUGAGGCCACAGCACAGAGUUUUUUACCGUUCACUACCGUUUUUUCUCCACAGUAGAAUUCUUUUUGACAAAUAUCAACCCCUGAACCUGCCAGACUACUGGAACUCACUGAAGAAAGCUGAAGGACGCAUGAUCCCAAAUAUCAUUGUUAGCCCUCUGCAGCCACAUGACGGUGUGUGGGAAACAUUUAAGUCUCUCUCAACAAAAUAUGGUCCACCAGGAAGAAACCGCAUCGUCAUCCCGUUCAUCCUCCCAGGAGAGAGAGAAAGUGUCCCGUUCUCUGUCGUCACCUUGGCUCUGUCCCUGGUGCUCCUCUCUUCCAGGUUUAAAGCCACCGUUCACUUUAAUACCUGUCUGAGUGAUGCGUCUACAGGACAGAAAUCUGACAGGAAGUAUCUGCAAGAGCAGUACUACUGCACUGAAGACAACACUGUGAUGACCUGCUCACCAGAUGCAUUCAGUGUGAACUGGUGGGAUUAUUUUAAGAGUCUGUUUAGUUAAAUACACUCAAUCAACAUCUUAUCGUCUUUUCUGUGUCAGUUUCUCAAAAACUGUUCCAAAAACAUGAAACCAUUUUAUUGUUUUUAUAUGUGGAACUAAGAUUUAAAAAGAAACCCACACAGGACUCAUGUUAGAACACAUGUUUGAGUUUAAUUACAAUUACAAUCCCAUACAAAGUAUCCUUCAGUCUAUCAGCCAGUUUUUCUUCUUUAAUGAAACCUACAUGAAUCAGAAUCAGAAUACUUUAUUGAUCCCUAGGGGAAUUUAUUUAAUUAUUACAUGAACCAGUCUCCAGAUUUUUGUGCACUUUAAGCUGUUUGUGUAGCUGCUGCUUUUCCCCAGAGCUCAGGCUGGACUUGAGUGUACUGACUGUCUUAUAGCUCCACACUGACAUGGAGGGAAAUCUGCAAACAGCUGAGCAGACAAAGACACACACUGUGUGUAAACUCUGCCUCUCGGUGUAAUUUAAACAAAAACCUGAAUGUAUCUAUUUUAUUUAUGAUGAAAUCAAACUACAUUUUGGAUUCUUCUGUUGUUUGUUCUUUCUUGACUUUUUAUAUCUUCCUUUUUAUGCUUUUAUACUUUUAUAUGUAAUUUCAAACAUAAUGACUUUAAUUCAUUGCUGAUAUGUGACUUAAACAGAGUCACAUGUAAUAAAAUCCACUGCUCUUUCAGGAAUUUCUAGGUGCCAGUCAGUGUUAACCAGCAGGCAAGAUUCAAAUGAAUGAACUAUGAAAAUUUAGAAGAAAAUAAACUUUAAUCAAUGAGCACUUUAUCUCCAGAAGCAUCGACUUGUCUGUUUCUCAGUGACAUUUAGAAAUUAUAUACAAAACACAAAGGUCAUCAGAAAUAGACAAACUAAAUGUCCAUCAUGUCUGCACUAUUUUAAAAAAAAAUAUUUUUCUUUUCCUCUUUAUCCAAGAAACUUGACUCUGUUCACCUGGAUGCAGCAUUUUCAGUAUGAGAAACUUUCCCUCCUUGAAGUGACUUCCUCAGCCUUAUAAACAGCGCAGCUGCAUAAUGACUGAAUCCAGCACCACACUGAGCCAGUUUCAUGAAUGCCAAAAAAGGAAAAGGCCAUCCCUAAGAUGAGAAUCUCACCAGCUUACACUGCUGUGUAUUGUUAAGUUCUCAGUUCUUUGAUCUUUGGGCUGAAGGAAGGACAACACUCAUUGUCCUUCCUUCAGCCAUUUUUCAUUUUAUUCCAUACAACACUUUUGAGCAUUAACCAUCUGGAGGGGAGAUGAGUGCGGGAGGGUGUCCACCUGAUCUCGAUGUGUCUGAGCGUUUCUCACAUUCUUAUAGCUUCAGCCCCCCUCCACACUAAGCAUUCACGUUCUUUCUCUGUUACGGCUCCUAAGUGACGGCCUUGGCUUCCUGUUUUAGCUCCUGAUGAGAAGGGGCAGAAAACCUCUAUGGUAUGUUCUGUUCUCUUUGUAAUCAGAAAAAUAAGGAUUUUCUGAAAACAGUAUUUCUUAUAACUCAGCAGUAUAAUGCAUCAUAAACAAUGUAAUUCAUUCAAAAUAAAUCAGCAGUCUAAUGUAAUACAAAUCAGUCUAAUAAAUCUAAUAGCAUUAUUCUCAUGAAGAGGUGAUAACUAACUAAAAAUACGUAAUAAUUUCACAAUCUUUAAGUAGGGGUAUAACGUGGCAUAAGAUAAUAUAAUAAUCUCACAGUAUCCAUCAUGGUCUCUAAUCAAUAGUCAUAACAACUUGCAUAUUAACGAUCAGACGAACAGAAUCAGUUUCCUGCUUACCUGGAUUAUUGAGCAUCUCUUUAUUUGUUUCAAAGAACAAAAACAGUGAAAGUUUUAAAGAGUACAAUGAAAAUGUUGAAUAGAAUGAAAGUAAUAAAGAAAGAUGAAAGAGAGGAAGCAAAUGGUUUGUGUUCCUGUGUCCUGACUGGUUGUAGCACAUAAGUGUAGAUGAAUG